AACCCAUACAUAGGACAUUUUCGCAGCAAAUUCUUGAAACUUUCCCAAGCUUCAUACAAGCUUUCAUCAUCCAUCUACAUGAAUAAAGUUAAAUCAUUUCAGAGUUU